rfam:Neurospora crassa OR74A unplaced genomic scaffold supercont12.8, whole genome shotgun sequence.
UAUUUAGUUAAUUCUACUAGUAGUUAUAUAUUUAUUUUAAAGAUUAAAUUAUAUAUAUUUAAAUUUAAGUAAUUAAAUUAUAAAACUACGAAUAGCUUAUUAAAUUAAUUAUAGUUUAUUUAAUAGUACUUUACUAUAUAAAUAACCGUAGUAAUUCUAGAGUUAAUAUAUAUUAAAAACUCUGAUUUCGGAAGGGGUAUAUUUAUUAAAUUAAAAACUAAUACCCUUCGGGGCUAAUUAGUAAUUUAUAAUAAUUUCUCGAAUUAUAUAGCCUUAUACUAAUAAUAGUUUAUUUAAAUUUCUGCCCUAUUAAUUUUCGACAACUAAAUUUUAGUUAACUAUAGUAAUAAUAGGUAAUAGAGGGUUAGGGUUUAACCCCGGAGAAGGAGUUUGAGAAACGGUUAUUAUAUUUAAGGAAGGUAGUAAGUAUACAAAUUACCUAAUUCCGAUACAGGGAGGUAGUAAUAAUAAAUAUUAAUAUAGGGCUCUUUUGGGUCUUGUAAUUAGAAUAAGUAUAAUUUAAAUCCCUUAACGAAAAAUAAUUAAAAAGUAAGUCUAGUACUAGUAGCUGCAGUAAUUCCAAUUCUAAUAGCGUAUAUUAAAGUUAUUAAAGUUAAAAAACUCGUAAUUAAACUUUAGGCUCGGCUUAUCGGUCCGCCUUACCGUAUAUAUUAAUUAGGUUAGGCCUUUUUUCCUAGAGAAUUGUAUACCCUUUACUAGGUAUAUCGGGGAACUAGGACUUUUAUUAUAAAUAAAUUAGAUUGUUCAAAGAAGGCCUAUAUUUGAAUAUAUUAAUAUAGAAUAAUAAAAUAGAACGUAUAGUUCUAUUUUAUUAAUUUCUAAAACCGCUAUAAUAAUUAAUAGGGAUAAUCGGGAGUAUUAAUAUUUAAUUAUUAGAAGUGAAAUUCUUAGAUUUAUUAAAAAUUAACUACUAUAAAAGUAUUUACUAAAGAUAUUUUUAUUAAUUAAGAACGAAAGUUAGGGGAUCGAAGAUAAUUAAAUACUAUUAUAGUCUUAACUAUAAACUAUACCGAUUAGAGAUUAAAUAGUAUUAUUUUUUAACUUAUUUAGUACCUUACAAUAAAUUAAAAUAUUUAAGCUCCUAGAGGAAUAUAGUUACAAGGCUGAAAUUUAAAGAAAUUGACAGAAGGGCACUACUAAGGGUAGAACCUACAGUUUAAUUUAAUUUAAUAUAAGGAAAUUUACUAAGUUUAAAUACAAUAAGGAUUAAUAAAUUAAAAACUCUUUUUUAAUUUCGUAGGUAAUAGUAUAUAGCCGUUCUUAGUUAGUAGAAUAAUUUAUUUAUUUAAUUAUAAUAACGAACGAAACUUUAAUUUACUAAAUAGCCUAUAUUACUUUAGUAGUAUACUAACUUCUUAAAGGGACUAUCGGCUCAAACUAAUAGAAAUUUAAGGUAAUAACAAGUUUAUAAUACCCUUAAAUAUUUUAGGCCGCACGCGCGCUACACUAAUACAACUAGCGAGUACUCCCUUAGCCGGAAGGUCCGAGUAAUUUUAUUAAAUUAUAUUGUAUUAGGGAUAGAGUAUUGUAAUUAUUACUCUUUAAUAAGGAAUCCCUAAUAAAUAUAAAUUAUUAAUUUAUAUUAAUUAUAUCCCUACCCUUUAUAUAUACCGCCCGUCGCUAUUACUAAUUAAAUAGUUUAAUAAAACUUCCGGACUAGCCUAAGGAGGUUAGUAAUAAUUACCCAAAACUAGAAAAUUAUCUAAAUUUAAUUAUUUAAAGGAAGUAAAAAUUAUAAUAAAAUCUCCAUUAGUAAAUUAGUAGAAGGAUUAUUA